rnacentral:lncRNA from 7 species
AGUGAAGCUUCAGUGGUGACUUGCUGGGUAGAUUUGCCGCCAGCUCAUUUAACCGAGCUUGCCUGCACAUACCAGCAUUAAGGAGCCUAGGGCUUGCAAGGCGGGCUUUUCUGAGCUUCUGGACGCGUUGGUCUACGCCUGCUCUCCUGCAUCUUCUCAUCUUGUCCUUGGAGAAUGAUUUUGGCUCAGACACGGCCCUGCACAGACAGGGACUGAGUGGUGUUUCAGGAAUCGUGCUGUCGCACCAAUGGAUCCACUGUCCUCUGAAACCGGGCCGCUGCUGCAGAAGUGCUGGGGCUAAGCAAAGCAGCCAUUUCUUGGCCAGGAGUUUGCUUUUGCUCGUGACAGCUCGCCUCUGGGUGAUGGCUGCCUUGAUGCUGUUUCCAUCCCAGCUGCAGUGUAGCAGGUGUGCUUGUGCUCCUGCCAGGCUGUGCCUGGGGCUGUGCUGCUUUUGCAUGGGAGAAGCAGAGAUUGAUGAUGGUUGUUCUUCCCUGGGCAUCGUUACACUGGGCUGCUACAAACUGCUCUGCUUUGAUCUGCUUCAGGUCUUAGGCAGCUAUAUGUCUUUAGGAUAUAUUUAAACAUGGAUCAUCACUCCUGUUCUUUCUCUGUUUUAUUUUUUGCAUACUUCCUAGGAACAGGUGCAUGCUGCCACUUAGACUCAUUAGAGUCUCUUGGUGGAGGUAAUACCCUUCUGUUACUCUCCCUGCAGCACCUCAAAGCAAGCCAGAGUUCAAGCAAAUUCUCUUCCUUGCAUUGCAGUGUGUACGCAGGGGCUGCAAGUCCUGCUUUGCACUCUCCUUCCCCCACUAUUAGUUUUGACAAUUUACUAGUGAUAAGAUGGUAAAUAAUUGAUGAGAUCACUUUUUCUGUGCAUACAGUGGGAACUAGUUAAAAAAAAAUAAAGCCAGUUGUGUUUCUCC